UAUUAUUAUUAUUAUAGUGCUGAAUUUUACCAAAUUAUAUAACUACACUAUUCCUUCACAUACGUUCAAAGAACUAGAUGCCCUGUUUUACAGAUAUUUGCUCAACCACGUUCAUCAUUGCUCUGUUCAUAGUAGCUGGAAAAUGGAAACAACCUAAAUGGUCUUCAGCUGAUGAAAGGAUAGUGAAAAUGUGGUGCCUACACACAAUGGAAUUCUAUAUCAGAGCCUGGAAACCAUGGCAGCAGCAGGAAGUUCCGGCUGUUUUAAAGUUGCGGUUCCGGUGUUCAAAAUGCCAAGGAUGAUGGGAAACUUGAGCUUGUUUAUCGGUUUGUACGGAACGCCACCCACCGUUCGGAAGCCAGAAUAUGCUUGAUAGAAGCAGUAUGGUGAAGGGGAAGAAUGCCUCGGGAGCCCAUGCUGAGGAUCCCUUUACCGAGGAAAACAUCUGACCCCGUGAGGUGCUAGAUCCUGGAUACCUGAGACACAUCAACUUCUCAGGUUUGGAAUGCACAAUGAUGAGACACAAAAACAUAAACAUCUCCAGAAAGAAGCUAUGACUGGAACACAGAGGACUACUAGAUUAAGUGGAAACAAUGCCCAGGCAUCCCAGUGCCCCCACUGAUGGUCCAGCUAUCAUCAAGAUGGUGACGAGUUACAUAUGACCUGGAGGAGGACUGUGCAGAGUACCUUCUAGCACCAUAAACACUAAUCAGUGAGCAAUGCUGAACUUCUAAUUAGGCAAGAGCUCAACCUCUUCAUGCUUGAGGACAUAAAGUUCAGGAUCAAGCUCAGAAGCUCACAGCUGCCAGCAGCACACUACUACUGCACUGUCUCCUUAGUCCAUGCUCACUCUUAAAUAGCCACAAAACACUCAGUGGUAUGGCAAAGGAAACCUCCAUUUCAUUUAGAUGUUUAUGAUAAUUUUUCCCACUUUAAUUAUUUUAUGUAGUUGAAUAUGAUUUUUUUUCCUAAGGAAUUUUUUUAUCUCAAUGUAAGACUCUUGAACCUUUAUGUUAUAUAUAAUUUCCUGUAGUUUUCAAAAUUGCUUUAAUAAAAAAGUUUAACUUUAAAACUGUUGUGUUUAUAAAAGAUAAGAGAGGGGGAUUAUGUUCUAUGGAGGUCUGGGGGAAAGGGGUGCCUCAGCAGGCCCAUACUGAGACAUCCCUUCCCCCUGAGGGCCGACCACACAACAACAAUAUAGCAUAGAGUAGAG
ensembl:lncRNA LOC100912991 uncharacterized LOC100912991